AUUGAACGCUGGCGGCAUGCUUUACACAUGCAAGUCGAGCGGCAGCGCGGGGGCAACCCUGGCGGCGAGCGGCGAACGGGUGAGUAAUGCAUCGGAACGUGUCCUUGAGUGGGGGAUAACCCGGCGAAAGCCGGGCUAAUACCGCAUGCGCUCUGAGGAGGAAAGCGGGGGACCCUGAGGGAAACUGAGGGGCCUCGCGCUCGUGGAGCGGCCGAUGUCCGAUUAGGUAGUUGGGGGGUAAUGGCCUACCAAGCCUGCGAUCGGUAGCUGGUCUGAGAGGAUGAUCAGCCACACUGGGACUGAGACACGGCCCAGACUCCUACGGGAGGCAGCAGUGGGGAAUUUUGGACAAUGGGGCAACCCUGAUCCAGCCAUGCCGCGU
rnacentral:rRNA from 1 species